rnacentral:rRNA from 1 species
AACCCUCAAGCUCUGCUUGGUAUUGGGANGUANCAUUCCCCGGUUCAUNUCAAAAUCAGUGGCAGUGCCAUGUAGCCCUCAGCGCAGUAAAUUUCUCGCUUCAGGGUCUGGAUGUCCGCUAGCCAGAAAACUAAACAUCAAAGGUUGACCUCGGAUCAGGUAGGGAUACCCGCUGAACUUAAGCAUAUCAAUAAGCGGAGGAAAAGAAACCAACAGGGAUUGCCUCAGUAACGGCGAGUGAAGCGGCAACAGCUCAAAUUUGAAAUCUGGCCUCACGGUCCGAGUUGUAAUUUGUAGAGGAUGCUUCGAGCGCGGUCCAGUCAAAGUUCUCUGGAAGGGGAAGUCAUGGAGGGUGAGAAUCCCGUACGCGACUGGGUGCCUAAGCUCAUGUGAAGCUCCUUCGACGAGUCGAGUUGUUUGGGAAUGCAGCUCAAAAUGGGUGGUAAAUUUCAUCUAAAGCUAAAUAUUGGCCAGAGACCGAUAGCGCACAAGUAGAGUGAUCGAAAGAUGAAAAGCACUUUGGAAAGAGAGUUAAACAGUACGUGAAAUUGUUGAAAGGGAAGCGCUUGCAACCAGACUUGCAUGCAGUUGAUCAUCUGGUGUUUUCACUAGUGCAACUCAGUUGUAUUCAGGCCAGCAUCGGUCUUGAUGGUUGGAUAAAGGCCCUGGGAAUGUAGCUUCUCUUGGGGAGUGUUAUAGCCCAAGGUGCAAUGCAGCCUAUUAGGACCGAGGACCGCGCUUCGGCUAGGAUGCUGGCGUAAUGGUUGUAAGCGACC